GAUGAAUGCUAGCGGCAGGCUUAACACAUGCAAGUCGAGGGGUAUAGGUUUUCGGACCUAGAGACCGGCGCACGGGUGCGUAACGCGUAUGCAAUCUACCUUUUGCAGAGGGAUAGCCCAGAGAAAUUUGGAUUAAUACCUCAUAGUAUAACACAAUCGCAUGAUUGAGUUAUUAAAGUCACAACGGCAAAAGAUGAGCAUGCGUCCCAUUAGCUAGAUGGUAAGGUAACGGCUUACCAUGGCUACGAUGAGUAGGGGUCCUGAGAGGGAGAUCCCCCACACGGGUACUGAGACACGGACCAGACUCCUACGGGAGGCAGCAGUGAGGAAUAUUGGUCAAUGGACGCAAGUCUGAACCAGCCAUGCCGCGUGCAGGAUGACGGUCCUAUGGAUUGUAAACUGCUUUUGUACAGGAAGAAACACUCCUUCGUGAAGGAACUUGACGGUACUGUAAGAAUAAGGAUCGGCUAACUCCGUGUCAGCAGCCGCCGUAA
rnacentral:rRNA from 1 species